rfam:Oryza meridionalis cultivar OR44 (W2112) chromosome 4, whole genome shotgun sequence.
GCGAAUGAUGAUAUUGUCUGCAAAAUGGAUGCCCUGUGGACCCAAGUCCCUGUUUCAGGGAGAACCUACUUGACAAAGCAGUGGAUAACAUGACAUCAACAGAUAAAUCUGAUGC